GGGAAUGUGGCUUAGUGGUAGAGUGCUUGCCUAGCAUGCAUGAAGCCCUGGGUUCAAUUCCUCAGUACUG
rfam:Dipodomys ordii contig_3152, whole genome shotgun sequence.